UGCAGGAAUAUGCGCCUUCAAGUUGUGC
rnacentral:sRNA from 1 species